rnacentral:rRNA from 1 species
UGGAGAGUUUGAUCCUGGCUCAGGACGAACGCUGGCGGCGUGCUUCAUACAUGCAAGUCGAACGCGAAUCGGUAGCUUGCUACCGAGGAAAGUGGCGGACGGGUGAGUAAUGUGUAGAGAAUCUGCCCUAGAGCGGGGGACAACAGCUGGAAACGGUUGCUAAUACCCCAUAUGAGCGUAUCUGAAAUGGUAUUCUUGAAAACUCCGGUGCUCUAGGAUGAGUCUGCAUCUGAUUAGCUAGUUGGGGGUGUAAUGGACCACCAAGGCGACGAUCAGUAGCUGGUUUGAGAGGAUGAUCAGCCACAAUGGGACUGAGACACGGCCCAUACUCCUACGGGAGGCAGCAGUAGGGAAUUUUGCGCAAUGGGCGAAAGCCUGACGCAGCAACGCCGCGUGAUUGAUAAAGCCCUUCGGGGUGUAAAGAUCUGUCAGUGGGGACGAAACUUGACGGUACCCACAGAGGAAGCACCGGCUAACUCCGUGCCAGCAGCCGCGGUAAUACGGAGGGUGCAAGCGUUGUCCGGAAUCAUUGGGCGUAAAGAGUUCGUAGGUGGUUUGUUAAGUUUGGUGUUAAAUGCAGAGGCUCAACUUCUGUUCGGCAUCGGAUACUGGCAGACUAGAAUGCGGUAGAGGUAAAGGGAAUUCCUGGUGUAGCGGUGAAAUGCGUAG